rnacentral:misc_RNA from 1 species
GAUGAAGAACGUAGCGAAAUGCGAUAAGUAAUGUGAAUUGCAGAAUUCAGUGAAUCAUCGAAUCUUUGAACGCACAUUGCGCCCGCUGGUAUUCCGGCGGGCAUGUCUGUUCGAGCGUCAUUUCAACCCUCAAGCCCCCGGGUUUGGUGUUGGGGAUCGGCUCUGCCCUUCUGGGCGGUGCCGCCCCCGAAAUACAUUGGCGGUCUCGCUGCAGCCUCCAUUGCGUAGUAGCUAACACCUCGCAACUGGAACGCGGCGCGGCCAUGCCGUAAAACCCCAACUUCUGAAUGUUGACCUCGGAUCAGGUAGGAAUACCCGCUGAACUUAAGCAUAUCAAUAAGCGGAGGA